UACGUAGGGACCCAGCGUUGUCCGGAAUCAUUGGGCGUAAAGCGCGCGUAGGCGGCCCGGUAAGUCCGUUGUAAAAGUCGAAGGCUCAACCUUCGAAAGCCGAUGGAUACUGCCGGGCUAGAGUACGGAAGAGGCGAGUAGAAUUCCUGGUGUAGCGGUGGAAUGCGCAGAUAUCAGGAGGAAUACCCAUAGCGAAGGCAGCUCGCUGGGACGUUACUGACGCUGAGGCGCGAAAGCGUGGGGAGCGAACAGG
rnacentral:rRNA from 1 species